rnacentral:rRNA from 1 species
GGCGAGUGAAGCGGCAACAGCUCAAAUUUGAAAUCUGGCCUUCGGGUCCGAGUUGUAAUUUGGAGAGGAUGCUUCUGGCGCGGCGCCGUCCGAGUUCCUUGGAACAGGACGCCAUAGAGGGUGAGAGCCCCGUACGGGCGGACGCCUAGCCUUUGUGAAGCUCCUUCGACGAGUCGAGUAGUUUGGGAAUGCUGCUCAAAAUGGGAGGUAAAUUUCUUCUAAAGCUAAAUACCGGCCAGAGACCGAUAGCGCACAAGUAGAGUGAUCGAAAGAUGAAAAGCACUUUGAAAAGAGGGUUAAAAAGUACGUGAAAUUGUUGAAAGGGAAGCGCCUGUGACCAGACUUGCUGCCCACGGAUCAUCCGGCGUUCCUCGCCGGUGCACUCCGCGGGCGGCAGGCCAGCAUCGGUUCUCCUAGGGGGUUAAAGGUCGCGGGAACGUGGCUCCUUCGGGAGUGUUAUAGCCCGCGGCGUCAUGCCUCUGGGGGGACCGAGGACCGCGCUUCGGCAAGGAUGCUGGCGUAAUGGUCACCGGCGACCCGUCUUGAAACACGGACCAAGGAGUCAAGCAUUGGGGCGAGUGUCUGGGUGCCAAACCCGCACGCGAAAUGAAAGUAAACGCAGGUGAGAGCUUCGGCGCAUCACCGACCGAUCCUGAUGUCUUCGGAUGGAUUUGAGUAAGAGCCUUACCGCUUGGACCCGAAAGAUGGUGAACUAUGCCUGUAUAGGGUGAAGCCAGAGGAAACUCUGGUGGAGGCUCGCAGCGGUUCUGACGUGCAAAUCGAUCGUCAAAUAUGGGCAUGGGGGCGAAAGAC